UGAAGACGUGUAAUUGACAUCAGGAGGAGAAACUUUGGGAGAAGUAAAGAUCAGAUCAGAGGAGGGAUAUUCCAAGGAGACAGUCUGUCACCAUUGUUGUUUGUGUUGACACUGAUACCUAUGACUAUGGUCUUGAAUGCUACAAGGACAGGAUACCAGCUUGGAAAAAAAAGGUCAUUUUAAUCACCUCUUGUUCAUGGAUGACUUCAAACACUAUGCAAAGAAUGUGAAUGAACUAGAUUCUCU